rnacentral:Y_RNA from 1 species
GGCGGGUCCGAAGGUAGUGAGUUAUCUCAAUUGAUUGUUCACAGUUAUAGAUCGAAUUCCUUGUUCUACUCUUUCCCCCCUUCUCACUACUGGACUUGACUAGUCUGUU